GGGCUCACACAAGCGGUGGAGGAUGUGGCUUAAUUCGAGGCUACGCGAAGAACCUUAUCCUAGAUUUGACAUGCUUGAGAAUCCCUAUGAAAAUAGAGAGUGCCCUUCGGGAGCUCUUGCACAGGUGCUGCAUGGCUGUCGUCAGCUCGUGUCGUGAGAUGUCGGGUUAAGUCCCUUAACGAGCGCAAACCCUUAUCACUCUAGUUGCCAGCGGGUAAUGCCGGGGACUCUAGAGAGACUGCCGGUGUCAAACCGGAGGAAGGUGGGGAUGACGUCAAGUCAUCAUGGCCUUUAUGCCCAGGGCUACACACGUGCUACAAUGGCGCAUACAGAGGGUUGCGAAACUGUGAAGUGGAGCUAA
rnacentral:rRNA from 1 species